ACUUGCUUUCUUUGCUGGCGACCGGCGCACGGGUGAGUAACACGUAUCCAACCUACCCUUUACUCGGGGAUAGCCUUUCGAAAGAAAGAUUAAUACCCGAUAGCAUAAUGAUUCCGCAUGGUUUCAUUAUUAAGGGAUUCCGGUAAAGGAUGGGGAUGCGUUCCAUUAGGUUGUUGGUGAGGUAACGGCCCACCAAGCCUUCGAUGGAUAGGGGUUCUGAGAGGAAGGUCCCCCACAUUGGAACUGAGACACGGUCCAAACUCCUACGGGAGGCAGCAUG
rnacentral:rRNA from 1 species